AUUGAACGCUGGCGGCAUGCCUUACACAUGCAAGUCGAACGGUAACAGGUCUUCGGAUGCUGACGAGUGGCGAACGGGUGAGUAAUACAUCGGAACGUGCCCAAUCGUGGGGGAUAGCUCGGCGAAAGCCGGAUUAAUACCGCAUACGAUCUACGGAUGAAAGCAGGGGAUCGCAAGACCUUGCGCGAAUGGAGCGGCCGAUGGCAGAUUAGGUAGUUGGUGGGGUAAAGGCUCACCAAGCCGACGAUCUGUAGCUGGUCUGAGAGGACGACCAGCCACACUGGGACUGCGACACGGCCCAGACUCCUACGGGAGGCAGCAGUGGGGAAUUUUGGACAAUGGGCGCAAGCCUGAUCCAGCAAUGCCGCGUGCAGGAUGAAGGCCUUCGGGUUGUAGACUGCUUUUGUCAGGGAAGAAAUCCUCUAGGUUAAUACCCUUGGGGGGAUGACGGUACCUGAAGAAUAAGCACCGGCUAACUCUGUGCCAGCAGCCGCCGUAAAAC
rnacentral:rRNA from 1 species